rnacentral:lncRNA from 1 species
AGUAUACGCAGUUCAUUCGUCAGGUGAGCCAGUAUAGUCAGAUCAUUCGUCUGGUGAGUCAGUAUAUGCAGAUCUCUCGCCAGGUGAGUCAAUAUAGUCAGAUCAUUCGUCAGGUGAGUCAGUAUACGCAGAUCUCUCGCCAGGUGAAUCAAUAUAGUCAGGUCAUUCGUCAGGUGAGUCAAUAUAGUCAGAUCAUUCGUCAGGUGAGUCAGUAUAGUCAGAUCAUUCGUCAGGUGAGUCAGUAUAUGCAGAUCUCUCGCCAGGUGAGUCAAUAUAGUCAGAUCAUUCGUCAGGUGAGUCAGUAUAUGCAGAUCUCUCGCCAGGUGAGUCAAUAUAGUCAGAUCAUUCGUCAAGUGAGUCAGUAUAUCCAGAUCUCUCGCCAGGUGAGUCAAUAUAGUCAGAUCAUUCGUCAAGUGAGUCAGUAUAUGCAGAUCCCUCGUUAGGUGUAACAGUAUAUAGAAUAUUGUAAUGUCUCAUCAGAUGAAACAUAAAACCAAAUAUGUAGAUCUAAUCCCGCACUGUGGAGGUGAGUUUCUUGAAAGUAUCUAGAAAGCCCCUGGGUAGACAGUUAAGGAAGAUCCCUAUCCAGGUGAGUUAGUAUGUGCUGAUUUCUCACCAGGCGAGAGCAUGCAGAUCCCUCGUCAGGUGAGACAAUAGACAGAGCAUGCAGGUCUCUCGUCAGGUGAGACAAUAGACAGAGCAUGCAGGUCUCUCAUCAGGUGAGACAGUAGACAGAGCAUGCAGGUCCCUCGUCAGGUGAGACAGUAGACAGAGCAUGCAGGUCCCUCGUCAGGUGAGACAGUAGACAGAGCA